UUGAAUUUAAUACACGCAAUUUUUAUACUGAAAGUUCAGUAAUAACAGAAACAAAGGGGAAGAGGACCAGAGCACAAAGAAGGCAACCAAAAGUCAAGGUUCUUAUGGGAAGGAAAAACUAAAACAUUGAUGUUUCAGAGCCAGGGGCCUCAAACUGUUCACACUGCAAGGAGUUUUGUGAACAGCAGCAAAGCAAGUUCAGGGCAGGCUACACCUCCAUUAUGCUCCAUCACCUGGAAUACAGCCACAGCCCCGAAAGAAAAUCAACAAAGGCUGCGUGGCUUUUACUGCUGAUGGAACCAAACUUUCCAAAUACACAUCAAGGGCUCAAUAUGAUUCCACUGAACUUCUCCCAGCGACCCACAGUUCAAACAAAGACCUCGAGUCAAGAGUGCCACAGCACAGGGAACGCUGCCAGGCCCAGCGGAGCACUCACCACUUCACUCCCAAACAGGCUUGUACCUACUGGCAACCCAGCCAUGGCCAGCUCAUGAUCUUGGACCCCUGCCUACUUCCCUCAAAGCAGGCAAAGGCCAUCGAGUUCAUAUUGGGCUUGAAAUUAAUGAUUGCGAUAACAUAACGAAUGGCGCGGGCAGCGGAGAUGAUUGCUACUUUGGAGAGGGAGCACCAAGAUGACUGCAAACUCUGCCCCUUGACUCUGCCUCGGUGAGGAGGGGAGAGGAAGACGCCAAGCGGAUGGAGCAGCAGAACACACACAGGAUUCGCUCCAGCCGUGUGCGAAUUCCAGUACGAGGCAGAGGCUCUGCUCGAGGUCAGUUGCACAGCAUUUUCCCAUUCAAUUCCUGAUGCAGCUUUCCAAUACUUAAAGGUGCUAGUGGUAGACUUACAGUCAAGAUGUCCUGAAAAACCCCCUGAAGAGGAAAGCCACGAGAUAUCAAUCCAUCUACAGAAAAAUAAAACCAACGUUCAGAAAGUGUCAACAAAUGUCAGUGGGUGCCAUAUUUUCUGCAUGGAGGAAUUCAGUGACACACCUUCACGAGCACUUUCACGUUGGAUGCCAUUGUGUCAGACUGCCCCUCUGAUGCCAUCUGCCACACAGCAACAAAACAUAAUGGGAUACUGGUGAGAAGGUUCAGCCUCUUCUGCCAUAUGACCAACAUCUGCCUUUGGCACUGUGGCUAUCUUGAAACCUGCUCUCAAACGCAGCCCACGGGCAGAGGGUUGGCCAUGCCUGUAAGUCAGCAGUCUUCUGCAGCACUCUGCCUUCUUACAGUCCCCUCUCAGCAUCAACGCGCAGGCUGGGCGUUCAGAGAGAAAAAGCUUUUGAGCACGUUGAGUAGAAAACAAGUUACUGAAAUAGCACUGGAGGUCACAGAAAAAGCAGUCUGUAAGCUAACCAGACUGCCCUGUUGCAAAGGCUUUCAGGUUUUCGUAGCACUGACCAAGGUACCGCUGGAGAGUGGGGUCUGUGGAGCUCAUUGUGAGCAGCUUGGCAGUGCCGUGCGGUUUCUGGCAGCUGGACAAAAUGCUUGCGGUUGGCAGGCCUCUCGCAAAGCCAUGGAAGGAAAGGAUAUAAAAAGAACACUGUUUCUGGAUUAACCAGAGGGACGGGCUGCACUGGCCGGUCACCACACAGUGCAGGAAGGAGCGGGCUGAGCUCCCUCAUUCACCACAUCCGCUGCUUCUGUGGAGCCAGAAGGAGGCAAUCAGGGGCCGCUACCAGAACAGAAGGCCUACAUGAAUCUUCCAAAGUAGCUGAUGUGACGUGAGACUCGUUUGGAAAGUGCUUUUCGUUUUAUAUACAGCUCAGCAACAGAAGCUUUUACUUUAAUCUUCUCAUUUCAUAGUGCCUGGGGUAAAAAAAAAACAAACAACAAAAAAAACAAACCAGCCUCAGCCGAGUGCAGCUUCGGUUUAAACAGAUUGUAUGGCAGCUCCAUUGGGUAUUUAGGUCCAGUUAAUUCCUUAUAACAUGAGAAAAUUUCUAGUGACAUCUGGAUUCCCUUUUUCCUCCUCCAGGCACACUCAGUCUGUGCUCUCACCAUGAAAGUUCAGAGCAGGUUGAAAUAUCACCUGCAGGAGUAAUUUUUGGUUGAAAAAAUAAAAGGGUUUUUUUAAUGCCAACCGUUACCGGAACAGGCUGCCCAUGGAGGUGGUGGAGUCACUGAC
rnacentral:lncRNA from 1 species